GACGAACGCUGGCGGCGUGCUUAACACAUGCAAGUCGAGCGGUAAGGCCCUUUCGGGGGUACAACGAGCGGCGAACGGGUGAGUAACACGUGGGUGACCUGCCUCAGCUCGUGGGAUAAGCCUGGGAAAACUGGGUCUAAUACCUGGAUAUGACUCCACGGUGCAUGUCGUGGGGUGGAAAGCCUUGUGCGGCUGAGGAUGGGCCCGCGGCCUAUCAGCUUGUUGGUGGGGUGANGGCCUACCAAGGCGACGACGGGUAGCCGGCCUGAGA
rnacentral:rRNA from 1 species